rnacentral:lncRNA from 1 species
GGGAAUCUACUAGGGCAGAGAGAGAAGAGAUGUACACCUUCACCCAACAUGAAGGGCGUGGAUGAGGGCUGGGUAGGCUCGUGCGUGUGACACCGUGACAAUGGGGGCACAACCUAUUGAUCAACGGCCCAUAACCAAAGACAUGAAGGCACAAUAAAAAUCCUUGAAUCGAUGACCGAAUGAAUUACCCAAUACAAUACUUAGACUAUGCCCAACCGGCUUUCAUUUAUUUCUGAUAUUUUCUUGUGUUUAUUUUCAGCAUUUACAUAUUGCCCAGAGUAGCUUUAAAUUCUGUUUUGGCCAGAGACUGGUAAGUGACACCUUUGCCCAGAGAAGGGCAACCUCAAAUAAACUAUGACACUCAGUACCGAGAUAUACCGAUUCCCUGUGGGUUCGACCCUAUAUAUACUUUCCAUUAACUGAUCUUGAUUGCAGGGCAUAUGAAAUUACAAAUAUCAUUUGCCAGAAGUCUUAACGACACUGCCUACUUAUGAAUAUGAUGAAUUAGCUUAUCCGUAUAUCUGUAAGUGAGUAGGAUUGCAUGG